AAAACGAUUGAUAAAAAUUUAAUAUUUAUAAACCACCCCUAAUCCCCGUUCUCUCUCAUCUCUCUUGGGCGGCCGAAAAUUGCUUUCGUCGCCCGUUGUCCCCCCUCCGCCUUCAUACCACCGUGGACCAUCGUCUGACCGCCGCCAAAAAUUGCCUCACGGUGGUGGCCCAAAAUUUUCACCAGAUACUUCUCACUCCUCCUCAUCCCUAAUCUGUCAACCAUUUCCUCAAAAAUCCACCCAAACUCCAUGAUUAGUGGAUCUGAGAAUUUAAGAAAAAUUGAAACUGCCCCUUUCUUGAUUCCUCUUCAAUUCUUACCCCGUCUGAGGUUAAAAUUCACACCAAUCGACAUCUCUUGAUGAGUACUGGCGAUUGGUGGUGGUUUCGUCUCAUUUCAUGGCCAUCGGGUCCCGGUCAAAUUCUAGUUGACCGUCCAGUCCUCUCAAAGCUUCUUCGUUCUUCACCUCCAGCAUGCAGGACCUAUUUCUACAUAUAGCAUUGGCCAGCGUGACAAAUUUCGGUUGGAGCUUGUGUAGCAAUCCUCUGGCUCGUCGGAAUUUCCUCUUGACAGCCCGUUUGAUCCAUUAGUAAAUUUGUUAGAGAUCGGGUUUGAGUUUGGUAGCCACUGAAGUUUUUCAGCACAUGAGUUUGAAGGUUGAAUGAAGAGUCUAAACUUGUACGAGUCAAAGGCAUUAGGAGAUAUGAAUUAAUUAUCUGAAACCUUAUUUGUUAUGACAUUGUUUAAUUCCAGAAAUGUAGGAUGUUAGUUCAUAAAAGUGUUUGUUAUUAUAAAUUCAAGUCAUGAUUUCUGAUGUAGUGAAUUGGUGUUGUAAUUUUAAAUCCGGAUGAACAUGUACUCAUGCUUAGAUUAGUUCAUACAUAUUUCAUUUUUUGCAA